UCUCUGUAAGAGCUGCUCUCCCAGGUUCCUGGCUUGUUUCGAGUUGCCUGCGUUUGUUUGUUUUUGGGGACACAGGCAGCUAAAGCAAGCCUGGAAACUGCGAGGAAACGGCGCCAGAGGAAU
rnacentral:precursor_RNA from 17 species